AGUGAACGCUGGCGGUAGGCCUAACACAUGCAAGUCGAACGGCAGCACAGUAAGAGCUUGCUCUUACGGGUGGCGAGUGGCGGACGGGUGAGGAAUACAUCGGAAUCUACUUUUUCGUGGGGGAUAACGUAGGGAAACUUACGCUAAUACCGCAUACGACCUACGGGUGAAAGCAGGGGAUCUUCGGACCUUGCGCGAUUGAAUGAGCCGAUGUCGGAUUAGCUAGUUGGCGGGGUAAAGGCCCACCAAGGCGACGAUCCGUAGCUGGUCUGAGAGGAUGAUCAGCCACACUGGAACUGAGACACGGUCCAGACUCCUACGGGAGGCAGCAGUGGGGAAUAUUGGACAAUGGGCGCAAGCCUGAGCCAGCCAUACCGCGUGGGUGAAGAAGGCCUUCGGGUUGUAAAGCCCUUUUGUUGGGAAAGAAAAGCAGCAGGUUAAUACCCCGCUGUUCUGACGGUACCCAAAGAAUAAGCACCGGCUAACUUCGU
rnacentral:rRNA from 1 species